ACAAAAGGAAUGCGCCUGACUGACGACUGUUCACCAGUGCACACACACACACACACUACACACUCUUUGCUUGGGUCUGGAGGUCACGUAAGGCGGGAUGCCACAAUUUUGAGACUUUCGGCACAGCACUGGCAGCUGCUGUGCUGCUGCUGCUGCUGCUGCUGCUUCGUCAGGAAACAAAGCGUAUGUAUGUAUACGUACAUUCUCUCAAGACUCCUUUUGUAUC